rnacentral:piRNA from 1 species
UGGGACAGAAUCUCUUCAUCCAUGUGUGCUC